CGCCGCUGGGCGUGAACAGGCCGCGGGGUCCCCCUGGACCGCAUUGCUGCAGUGGGGCUGUUGGCGGCAGCCCCGGCUCUCUGACUCCCAUCACUCAUGCCCUCCAGGGGAUUGAUUUGGGGAUCACUUCCUCUCUAUGAAGGGAUUGGUCUGAAAAAACUGUCAGCGCCUCUGAGGGUGGACUUCCGGGCCUGGUGGCUGGGCUCUGUCAACUGUCUCCUACUGGGAAGUUACCGCACAGAGGUGUGAUUUUGAGCCCCCAGAGACAAGCCGGAAGAAGAGCAACCCCAGCAGGGGAGGGGAGGCCUCUGCACUGGCUGGCACCCUGAAAGGCCCAAGGUGUUUAAAGCAGGGGGAAAACCAGUUCCUGUUACUCCAUCGUGGUCAGAGGCAAAGUCCUCUUCUUCAGGAAACAAGUUCUUUUCUGUUGGAUCCCGUGACCCAACGUUCUCCUUUGUCUCCUGCUCUCUGGAAGCAACUCUUAGUCUCGUCUGCAGGCUCAUCUCCUCCGGCAGCCAUUGACUGUGGGAGUUCCUCCAUCACUCAGAGCUGUCUUCUCGCCUCCCGCUCUGUAAUGGCUCCCUGUUGACUCGUCCAUACCCAGGGCUUCGGAACCCACCUAUAUCACAGAUUAGAUUCCUGGGCCAAAGCGCCUGUCACAGAUUCCAGCUGCCUCUUUGACCACACAACUUGAAUGUCUCUAAGCAUCCCAGACUCAACAGGUCUGAAAGGAAUUCAUCAUCUUUCCUCACAUGUGAUCCUCUUCUUACUUUAUAACCAGUUGUGAAGUCAAAACCCGAGUAUCUGCUUUGACACUUCCCUCCCCAUCCCCCCAGAUCAAACCCACUGCCAAGUCUCGCUGAUCCUUCUUCAGAAAGAUCUCUAGUGCCUGUCCCCUCCUCUCCGCCUGUACUCUGGUCCAGGUGGUGAGUCCUAACUGGUCUCCACCAUCUCUUCCUAGUUUGAUCUCUGCUGCAGCCAAUAG
ensembl:lncRNA